rnacentral:lncRNA from 1 species
GCUUGUUUCCUCAUAGCCACAUUUUCAACACUAAACUCAUAUCAACAAAAGAAUUUUGAAGAGGAAUACAGGGAGUAAGACAAAUUGAUCUGAAACAAAAUAACACAUAUACCUGCGGAGAGGCUCUCUGGAGCCAGACUGUCUGAGUUCUAAUGGCAACUCAAAUACUCACGUGCUCUGUGAUUCUGGAAAAGAGCCAGGAUGCUAUACAGACCAAACUAAAACUGAAGCUGAAUCUCAAAAAAAGUGCCCCUUCACUGGAGGAGAAAGGUAUGAAGGUUCAACCAAAGACUGAGCAGGAAUGGAAAGGAAGAGCCAUCCCCACGGAAAGCAGGUCCUGGGUAGCCAGAAGUUGGUGAUGAACAAAACAAUACUCUGUAGCAGCAUCAGGCAUCUUAGAAGAGCCAAGUCUGUGCUCCAAGCCACCAUCUGCUCCAUGCCUAUCUUAGGCACGAAGUGAUAAGAGAACGUUUUACUAACAACGGGUUGCGUAGGAUAUCUGGCUUUUCAUAUGAAAGAAAAAUGAAAAAAGGCAAAACUAUGGAGAGAGCAAAAAAGAUCACUAGUUGCUAGGAGUUAGGAUGAAGAAAAGAAUGAAGAGGUAGAGGACAGAGACUUUUUAGGGUAAUGAAAUACUCUGUGUGAUACCGUAAUAAUGGAUGUGUGUUGUUUUAUCUCUGUCCAAACCCACAGAAUGGACUACACCAAGGGCGAACCUAAUGUAAAUUAUGAACUUUGGGUGAUAAUGUGUCAAGGGAGAUCCAUCCAUUAUAACAAAUGUCCCCACUCUGCUGGGAGA